AUAAAAAAGCUUAUGUUCGUGACUCGAAAUUACUUGCGUUCUUACAUCUGUACGUACGUGUUUUCUCGUGCUUUGCGUGUUUUUAUUGUGAGUGUUUAGUUUUUGUGCAUAAAUUUCUGCAAUGGCCGCCCAUUUCAAGUUGUUGUGUCGUGUUUUUGAGAGUGGUCUUCUGUCGGAAGACGAUAUGGUGGAGGCAUAUUAUUAUAUGCUCCGAAUGGUAACUUCCGGGGAGGUAACUCCCGACGCCGCAGACAUUGAACGCUUCAGGCGUCUUCGCGAAGCAGUUGGGGCAAUACAAACGCGCCUGCUUCAACAAAAUGUGGUAAGUUUUUAAUAUUUGUACACUUAUAAAUUUCUAAAUAUAAAUUUCUUUGUAGAAUUCCCAUCACGUUGCUGCUAUAGCAAACAAUCCGCAGUCGCAGCCCCUCGACCUCUGUGUGAAAAAUGAAGUUCCGUCACCCACUAUCCAUCAUCUUCAACGAGAGCAAUCUCAGCCCCUUGAUCUCACUGUAAAACAUCCACCGCUACCGUCUUCCCCUGACGCCUACAAACCCCAAUCGCAGCCCCUCGACCUCUGUGUGAAA